UACGUAGGUGGCAAGCGUUGUCCGGAUUUACUGGGCGUAAAGCGUGUGUAGGCGGACCUUUAAGUAGAAAGUGAAAGGUUGGUGCUCAGCACCAACAUUGCUCUCUAUACUGGAGGUCUUGAGUGUCGGAGAGGAAGAUGGAACUGCACGUGUAGCGGUGAAAUGCGUUGAGAUGUGCAGGAACACCAAUGGCGAAGGCAAUCUUCUGGACGAAAACUGACGCUGAGACACGAAAGCCAAGGUAGCAAACAGG
rnacentral:rRNA from 1 species